rnacentral:lncRNA from 1 species
AGUGUAGAGAAUGUGUACUCUUUUUUGUGGUUGAAAUUCCUCCAGAGACGAAUCUUUCCAUCAGCGUGGCCAGUUGCAAUACAAUCCUCCUGAGGAUGGCAGGCUACGCAAGUAAAGACGUUGUUUCCACCUUUUUUAUUUGUUGCUCUUAGAGAAAACCUGUUCAAUUGUUUCUGUUUAAAGAAAUAAACUUGGAGAUUAACAUCCUUCACUGAUGCCACGUAUUCACCCUCUCUUCCAAAUGCAGUACACUUUGGUGACGCAUCCACACCCUCCAAAACCACAGACAAUUCCUUGGCUUCCAUGUCUUGGCCUGCUGCUUUUGUCAGCUUAACUGAGACCAGCUGGAAUGUAUCUCUCUCACCACUCUUUGGAAUGAUAACAAAUACGGAGUCCUCAGAGGACGGCAGUGCGUACAGUGCGAGGAGCUGAUAUCCCACAGUGAACGUUUUAAUGAGAAUCCCAUCUGUGAAGUCCCACAGCUUAAUGGUGCCAUCGAGGGAAGAAGAAUAGAGCUGCAGGCGGUUGUGCGGCGCGAGCUGCACGCCCGUCACCAGGUCGCUGUGGCCUCGCAGCAGCCGCACCAGCUCCUCGGUGGCAACGCUGUACAUCUUCACGAAGUCCCCGGAGGCGCACAGCAAGAACCUGGCCCCGACGGAGAACACGGCCCGGGCGCCGUGCAUGGCUCUGCCGCCGCAUCGCACCACGCGGAGCGCCGCCGGCGCCACCAUCUUCCUCCAGCGGAACCGCCCGGCCGCCCUUCCGCCGCGGAGCUCCGCCCGCUGCACGCAUGGCGUUGCGCGCGCACGGCUGCGCGCGCCGCGACCGUUAACAGCUGUGGGUGCACGCGCCGCGACCGUUAACGGCCGCCUCUGUGUGAGGAGAGGCUGGGCGGGCUUCGCGUCCACAGCAGCUCCCGCGCAACAGCCGUCUCCGCGUUGAGGGACGAGGGAAGCGAUGCUCGCAGCUCACACACAGCCCUCCGAGAUGCCUCUGUUGGUGCUGUUGCAGAUGUCUGGUAUGCGUUUAGUUGGUUGUUAAGCAGCUCGAGGUAAAGCGACGUGUGCGCUCCAACUGGAACACGGGGAGUUCCACACAAACACAAAGAGGAGCGUUGCUGUCAGUGACAGAGCUCAGGAACAGGCUGCCCAGAGGCCGCGGGGUCUCUUCUCUGCAGAUAUUCAGGCCCAUGUGACACCCAGCUAUGCGAGCUGCUGCAGGGAACUGCUGUAGCAGGGGAUGGACGGGGUGAGCCCGGAACUCCCCUCCAACCUACACUGCUGCGAUUCUAUCAUGUUUUUGUUAUUGAAUGUGUGCUACAGCAAUGUAACCCUAUCAUUUUAUUAAAUUAGUCAUAAGCUCUGACGAUCCUGAGUAAUAAAUUACACAGUGCUCCUGAAAACCAUUAAACUAAGGUGGCAUUUAAGAGGCAGGGGCAUAGUCAGGUCAGUGUAAUGCAUGGGCAGAGCAGCCCUGUAUGUGGGCCACAUUACUUCACAAUUAGUAUGACUACAUACGAAAAAAUCUGUGUAUCUGAACUACCAAAUGCUGUGGAAAGGAUGUAAAAGGUGACAGCAUUAUCUUCUGGCACGGUGAGGGGUGACCAACUUGUAGUAGUGGAAUUGGGGCAACUCUGCACUGAGAGCAGUGACUGCACCCUGGGAGCCCAUGUUCCAUCCCAGUGGCUUAGUGCUUCUGUCUUCCCUCCUAUCCCAUGCUUUUUUUUUUUUUUUUCCUCCUUCACCUUUCUCCUGUUCUUACACUUCACACUGACAUUUUUCAUCUACUUGGAAGUCUUCCUACUACUAUGCUGUGAAUAAAGAAAUUUGAUCCUGAAAGCCUUACCUCUUAAAUAAGAGUGGAAGGUUGUGUUGGGUACCCAAGGUCAGGUCUGGCUUCAUGAAACCACUGAUAGUUUUUUGUUUUUUUUUUAAAGAAAGGAAACUUUGGGAAAAUACUAAAGGAAAAAAAAAUUUGUGUUCCAAGUUAAAGUGGUUGCCAUAAAUUCCCUGGUAGUUCUGUAAAAAGUUUUUUGUGUGCUUUUGUUAAAUCCGUGUCAUCUGGCCUUUUAAUUCAAUGUCAUAACGUGGGUUUUUUUUUUGUUGUUGUUGUUGUUUUUGUUUUUUUACAAGGCAAAAACCUGGCUUGGUGCACAAAUUGAUGAAUUUAAGCAGGCAGGUGUAAACAUCCAGAACAGCUCCUUAGAAUGCCUGGCGAUCUGAGGAGUAAGAGUUGCUAAAAAGUAUCUGGUUUAUGGUUUUCAAAUGAGCAAGGAGCAAAACGCACCUCAGCUGUUCAGCUGUUCACUGCUCUAAUUUUUGUUCCCUUGGUUGAAGUGGGGCCGUUGUGUGGUUUCCUAAUUGGUUCAAAUUUACAUACAGUAUAUACAAUUUGUAGGUAUGUCUGUGCAAAGCCAAAGAAAUUUGCGCACAUUUCUUCCAAAGUAAUAUUUUGGUUCUGUUGGGAGCUGUGGUGCUUUCAGCACAGUGCUUAUUUAGGAGGAGCUGUGACAUUCAGAAUAGCACGUAACAAGGUAACUAGUUUUAGAGUAUGCACUGCAGUGAAUCAAGCAAAUAGUUGAUACAGCGAACUGCCAUUUGCAUUUAGAAUUCCCUGCAUGACUGAAAGAAAUUUUAGAUAAACCAACUGGAGGAAAUGCCUUUGUUCUGAAACUCUAAAUGAUGUAUGGAGAAGUAAUUGUAUUUCUGUAUCAACUUCGACGAAAACCCUUCCAGGCGAGGAGGGGUUUUCAUACUAAACAGAUGCUGCUAGUUUGCUCUACCUACUGUGUCUAGAUUAUACAUUUGUUCACUGUUUGCAAACUUGAUACCAAAGCCCAUGUUAGCAGUACAGCAGAGGACCCUGACUUCAGGCAACAGAAUGAAGUUGCUUAAGGCAGGAUGCAAUACACCAUUGCACCAUUUGAACACAUGAAGUCAGUAAUACAGUUUAGGGCAGAAGCUUCUGAAAUAACUAUUUUGAACUCCAUUUACUAUUCAGCAGAUUUGCUUUUCUGAAAACUCAGUUUCAGUCAUGCAGCUUAAUAGAACAGCUGGUCUUGUGCCUCCCUCUGCUGAAUAAUGCUCAGAAUUGGCUACAAUCAGCUCCCUGCUUGUAGCCUGCACACUGCUUUCAAGUUUGAGCAUGAAGGUGAGGUAUUUAGCACACUUCAGAACUUGAUCCACUGUUCAUAAACUCCACUGCUGAUCUUAGAUGUCUUUUUGUCAUAAGACCAAUUUAUAGGAAGGUAUACCUAAUAUUGACUGGUCUUCUAUUUUUUUAUUCUUUUCUGCUAGCUUGUGGAUUGUGAGGAGUAGGAGAGAAACUUAUGCUUGGCAGUCUUCAUUAUGCUCCCUCCCUGAAAGCAUUCAAGGCCAGGCUGGAUGGGGCUGUGAGCAACCUGGUCUAGAGGGAGGUGUCCCUGCCUAUAGCAGGGGACUGGAACCAGAUGAUCUUAAAGGUCCCUUCCAACCUGAACCAUUCUAUGAUUAUCUCGUAUAAUUUUGUUAUUAAGGUGGAGAGAGCCCUAGUUCCUUUUCUGUGCUGUAUAAAAAUAGAAUUUCAUUUAUGUACUUAAAGAAAGUAUGUCAUGACAGACUAGAAUUAAAUACGGAAUAGGGGUAUGUGAUGUUCUAGGAAGCUCAUACAGUAGGUAAAAAUCAGUUUUCAAGUGGGGGAAACAGCUCUAAACAGAUCUUAGAUGAGAUUAUGGCUUUUAUAACUGUGGUUCAUAACUGCUAACAACACUAGAGGGCGCUAGAAGAAUAACUGCAGUAGUAAGAAGUGUGAGUAUUUAAAGCUAGUAAAAUAAAACCAAGUUGGGAUGUCCCUCAGGGACUUCUGUGCUAGUCCAGCCUUACCACAUGCAGGAUUGUUUUCUUUCUACUAUUGCAUUUGUCAUGGUCAAAGGGAAGGCAAAACUGUGGUACCAUGUAAUGACUUGGUCAUACAAAGUGCUCUGUUUCCUUAGUGUUCAAGAGGUGAUACAGUGUUUUGUUUGAGACCAUGAAAACAGCAACAACUCAUCAAAGUGAAAAAGCAUAGGAAGAAUUAAACUGCAAAUACUCACUGCAACCAUUGCAAUGUGUAGCAUUCCUGGCUGGGCUUAGUGACCCACCUAACAGUUAACCCAAGGCAGGUUUGUGCUGGCAGGAUGAACUAAGCCAGCAAACACAGUCCAGGAGCCUGCAGAUGAUGGUGCCACCUGUGUGUCCUUGCCUUUAGGAGGAGAGCACUAAGUUCUCAUGUGAGCAUCCUUUCUGUCUGACAGUAGAAAGGACAAACAGUAGCUUCUGAACAGCAAAAUCCUAUGGCAGCUUGAAUAACUAAAAUAAGAAAGUUUCUGUUACAGAUCAUGUUUUUGAGCAUGCUGUACCAUCUAGGGUUCUCAAUAACUAAAGGGAUUUCUCUGUACUAUUGUUUUCUCAUACCAUGAACAUCUGAAAUAAUAUUUUACGUGAUAUCACAUAGCAUUUGAAUAUCCCUCUCACUGAGAUAAUAACAGAUGAGCUCUUCUUGGUGCAAAGCACCUUAUCUAAGUAGCUUUAACUUGUAUUAUUUUUUUUUGACUACAUGUAAAUUAUAUAGAUUCCUUGUUUUGUUAAAGAAGUUUCAUUUUGAGACAACUGUUAAAUUGAGGAACUAAGCAAGUAUACGGUAAGCAAAAGUAGACCUUAUACAUUAAAAUGUAAAUUAUGAGAAUGAUUCUUAAGGUAACUGUAAUGCUAUAAUGGAACAAAAAUAGCUGGACAACAAGGUCUUUAACUACAGAAAAAGAACAUAAGACCAAAUACAACAAUCAAUGAAAUAAAUAAAUAAUAAUACUAAUAAUAAUAAUAAAAAAAAAAACUACUUACCUUUAAAAGGUUCUAAGUAGGUAGGGAGCUCCAGCAAGGUGCCAUGAUUUCCACUGCCAGCCCAUAAAUGUGGUCUGGGAAGGGGUGGAUCCUGGCUCCUCCCCCCCUGUUACUCAGGUGCAUGCAAUCAUUUGAUUGACCAAAAUGAAUGGAUCUACUCCUUCCCAAACCUCAUUUACAUGUUGGCAGUGGAGGUGAGGGGUUCUUGCUGGAGACCCCUGUGUACCUGUGGCCUUCUGAAGGUAAGCAGCUUCAUUCUUUUAUUUCUGUGCCUGUUGUAUUUAGGCAAGUCUUCACCUGCUGUAGCCUAGGAUCUGGCCACUGUGCUGUUGUUGCUGUCCUUUCUGGUUUGUUGCAGAAUUAUAAUAGGAAAAACAGUUAAGUAUGUAGUUUGUUUUUUUUUCCCCACUUUUAACACUAGGUAGUAGAGCUUACCCACUUUUCAUAGCCUGGCUUGCAAUGUCAAGCUUACUGACUGUUUGAACUUCUUUAAAUUUUCUGAAGUAGCAAAAUAGAUUUGAAACUCUUAAUUUUUUUUUUUUGUAGGAGACAAAUGAAGUAGUGGUGUAUUCAAACAGAAGAAUUAUUGGUGUCAUUCCUUUGCUUGACUUUGAAUCGUUACUUGGCUUAACAGUGUUAACUGUGGGCCAUCAAGAAAGCCUCAAAGUUCUUAUAUUUUCUCAGGCAAAACAAAUAACGCCUUUCUGAAAACUAUGAGUAGCAAAUUGGAAACUUGAGGAGAUGUAUUUAGGCUUCAAAAAUGAAGUAAAUGAAGUGGCUAUUUAUGUACAUUAAAUAUUCUGUGAACUUCAUUUUAUAUUUUAAGCUGUCAGAGUGCUUUUGGGCUUAUGUAGUAUGUUGAAUUUGAAAUCCCUUGUAGAAAGAUGUAUUGGCUUAAAAAUUACCUCAAAACAUGCAUAAUGGUAAUGACAGUUGUCAUAGUGUUUUUUUAAGUCAUUUUUGUUCUAUUAUCUGAUGGCCACACAAAUGUAACCCAAGCUUUCUGUUUAUGCUUGAAAUCAAAACAUUUUUAACAGCAGUGUGCUUCUAAGUGUUACCUCUCUUAAAUAUACUAAUGGUCUUAAUUCAUUUAAUUCUGUUGGUCGCCACAUAGAUCUCCAGAUACCCAGUUGACUUGUUUUCAGUUUAAAGUCUCUUUAGACUCUGUGGGAUUUGGAUAAAGGACCUAAAACAUGUAUCUAAUAAAAUUCUGUUGUGACCAGAAGAAAUGUUUUUCAUCUGUGUUCAAAUAUUCUCUUCUGACCCACUCUCGUAAGUUUACAUUAAUUGCAGUAGUUUUGCAGGUGCUAGCAAAGUGUAUUAUUUUUUUUCCAAAAUGUAAGUGAAAAUAAUAGUCACCAACAGCUUGAUAAUUAAUGUGGAAAAUCGAAGUAGAACUAUUUCUCUGUACACUUAGAAACUUUGUUGUGUCUUGGUAGAGUCAGUUGCUGUGUUGUCCUUAAUGGCUGUUGUGUGUAUAUGUCUAUGCCAGGUAGCUUUGUGCUUCUCUAUAAGUUAUAAGCUUUUCUUCAAGGCGGUUUUAAAGGUAACUUUGCUUGAAUUCAUGGUAUUUUACUGUUCCUCAUAAAAACAUGCAUACAACUCCUUAACAACAGUGGCUGCUAUAUCUAUGAAACAAGAAAAACUCCUGUUUAUGAUAGAUCACAUUGUGCAACACACAUGGUUUAUAUAAGGAAAUAAAUCCAUUGUUUUUCAAUUCUUUUUUUAGGCAACUGAUACCAAACAAAUAUCAGAUGCUGUUUUUCAGGCUUCUAUUCAAAUGUCACAGUUAAGCAGGAGGAAUGUAUGAAUGAUAGUGUUAAAAAUAACACUAGAUUUUUUUUUUUAAUGUACUUAAGACAGUGUUCUUUAAGUAUGCUAGAGUUGUGUUUACAGAAAGGGCAGAUGUAAAGUGUUAAUGAGAGAGAUGUUCUAGGUUUGAUUCUGAAACAAUCAGAACAACUCUAGCUAUUCUGUGCAUGUCAUUGUGUUCACAUGGAUGUAGUAAAGCUUUCUAGACAUGGAUACACUCCAGACUUUCAUCCCCACCAUUGAACUAAAUACUCAAUAAAGCUCUUGCAGAGCAGAUGUUUUUUUUCCAUUGCUAUCAGCAGUGUGGUGACACAUGUUGCUACAAUCAGCCCACCUGUUUUGUUUGGAAGUAACAAGGUUAGACUUCACUGCCAUUAUAUUCUAUCAGCCACGCAAACUAAUUGAAGCAGCUGUAAGAUUUUUAUUUGUAUACAAGUACAUAUGUGUAUAAUAUCCAUAUGUAUAUUUGAAUUAAUGUUAAAAAGCAAGUGUUUUAUAGAGUGGGAUAUUUUGUUUCUUCCUGCAUGUAUAAAGAUGCUUCUUAAAAAAAAAUAUUUUGUACUGGUGAAAAUGCUAUGCCUCUGACUUCGCAGUGCAAAGCUUUCAAGGGUGACGUACACUUGGUUUCCUCUGGUAAUCUCUUCUAGGUUUCAUGUAAUGGAAAUUACACUUUAACUGGUGUGCGUAAGGGAAUGCAUGGUCUGUUGAUAACAGGUUUUAGAGGAAAAGCUCUCUGUAUUUUCAUGAUCUUUUUUGUAUAAGUAGACAAAAAGAAAAUAGCUGCUGCUUAGUUACUGUCAGGGAUCACUGUCAGCAAAGCUCUGAAACAAAUUCUGGGAAUAUGACUUACAAAUAAGGUUGAGCAAGGUAAGUGGUAUAAAUGGUAGAGGUACUGGAACCAUUUUUUUGCAUAUAGUAACUUCAGAAGGCAGCAUGGCUGGGACAUGCUACUUUUCGGCGUUUGAGUUUGACUAUUAUUUAUAGCUACUUAUAAUCCAUGUGGUAUCAUGAGGUGUUUUAGGCCUGUAAUGGGAUUACUGGGUGCCCAACCCAGCCUAAUAUUUGGACUUUGCAAACCAUGUAAAAGCUAGAAAUACAGGCUAAGUACUCUAAGCACUAGCUGGAAUUGGAGAGCUGGCUAGCAGUUGUAUAGACAGGUGGAGCUAUUUUUUCUAAAACUCAUCUAGAAAUCUAAGUAGACUGCUGAACAAACAAUGUGAAUAUUUUCUGACAUUUUCUUGGAACCGAUAUUACUGAUGUAUUAUAUUAAGAGCAAAAUCAUGUCCUAGUGAACAGCACAGAAACCCAACAAUUGUAUUGCUGAUUACGAGUUCACAUUUAACCAAAAUAAGUAAAACCGUGUUUAAAAAGUGCAGUGGGCUGAAGUUGGUCUUGGGAUGCUUACUAUGAUUCCUAUAAUUUUAUUUUGGACACCAUUUGCAUAGUUCAUGUAAUAGUAUUUAGAAACUGGCUGUCCUACAGCAGAGGCAGUAGAAGGAGCAACAAUAUUCAUGUUUCUUCUGUAGCUCCUGUAAAAAGUUCUGGUCAGUAAAAGUUAUUUAUGGUUUUAUAUUAAACCUUAACUCUGCAAGACCUUCAUGCUGUUGACUAAGAACAAUGGGUGCAGUUGCAGUCUUGCAUUUUGCUUCUGCCCUGCAUUGGUUAAAAUCAUAGUCUCUUUGGGUUGCCUCCACGACAGUUACCUUUGUGAUGGCUACUGAUGAGGGUGCAAGGCAAAAUAGCAACUGUCAACAUGGGCUGGGAAGGACACUUGAUGUUCCCUGAGCCAUGCGAGACAGGGAAGGUAAUAGAAACUCUGUGCAAGUACUUUUGGUAAGGAGCCAGGCUUCUGUGUCACAGAUUCAGAAAGGUGACAGAAGAUCAGUAAACAACUCUUUAUUACAAUUGUUGAGUGUUUGGUAACAUCCUUUAGUAACCCAGGAGGACUUGAAAAGGAAGCAAGUGGGGACAGCUUCCCUGAAUGAAAAUUCUUUAGAGAUGUAGAUACAGGCGAACACUGCACACAAGGUCAACUCUGCAUUCACUGAGCUUUUAGCUUUUGUACUAGAGGCGGUCUCUCUCUUCUUCUAGUAAAUUUAUUUGAAGUCUGAAGGCAGUUCAGCAUUGGUUUGGUCUCCAACUGGCGCAAAAAGUACAUUUUUGCCAACCAUCAAUCUUGUCCUAGUAAGUGAUUGGAGAAAAAAUAUGUUAGUUUGUCUUCUCCUAUAUGUAUUACUCUUCAGUGUAGAAUCCAGCCUUAAAAACAAAAAAACCCCAUGAGAAUACUUACUUCACCGUGCACUUCAGAGUGCACAAACCUAAAACUGUAAUUGCGUGUCCUGAGUUUCCACAUAUCCUGGUAGAAAAAUGUGGUGUUUCAAGAAUACAAAAAUGAAUGCAAAUUUCUGGUUGUCUUUUAUUUUUCACUGCUAUGCUUUUUCAGUAUGCUCUGUCACAGGGAACCUGGCCACCUGCGUGGACUUCUGAAUGUUUAUACUUAAGAGAUUUAAAGAUGUAAAAGUCAACAAGCAGUAUCCAAGUGAAGGAAUAAUUCAAAGAGAUUAGUUUCUUUGGCACUGAGGAUACAGUGGGAACAUUUUGUAGUGAGACAAAUGACUGAGUAGCCAACUACAUCUGCCUGUUAGUUGAGCAGGUCAUUAAGUAAGAAAACAAGUGAUCCUCCCUAGCUUAGUAAACUGCUAGUCUGACAGUAAAAAAAAAAAAAAAAAAAAAUCCAGGGGAAAAUAAGAGGAUAGAUUGAGUCAGGUCUUUGAGUACUGCACUGCAAUGGAACUUAGUUAAAUGGUGAACUGCACAGUAAGCUUUUGCAAAAGCUAUAGUGGGUUUUUCAUUUGGUAUUGCUUCUUGCCCAGCUGUUUACUGCUGAUUAGUUUAAUUCCUCUACUCCAGUGAACUCAUUCUGUCUUGCCUGCUAUACAGAGAAUGAGAGUUUCGCUUCAUUUUCCACAUCCUUUGCGUUUGCUAUUAUAAAAAAGCUGUAUGGACUUCUAAUGCAGGGCUGAAGACCAUCCAUAAUUCAAGUACUAUCCUUGUACAGCAGCAAACUGAAUUUGAAAAAUAGGUGGUAAGAUCAGUUGCUGUAAACUAUGUACCUUCUAUGCUUCUGUUUUCUUAUAGCACAAGUUAGAGAUUAGAGAACUGAAUUGCAUUGGCGUCUUUUGCAAACAGGAAAAUCAAAUAGAUCCAUUGUGUCUGCUGAAGCAACUAUGGUACUAAAUAGAUAUUCUCAUCUCAAUUAAAUUGAAAUAGAAACUAAUCUAUAUCGCUUUGCACUGAUGUGACAAAGCAUGCUUGGUUUUCAAGGUUUAUGGUGUUGUGCUCCUAAACACCUACUCAGGAUCCUUAAUACUUUUCUAUGUUAUCCUCUGCAAAUGUUAGGGCCGUAAAUAGUUCUGGGGUUUCGCUAUUUUAGCAAACAAAACCUCUCAAAAUCUCAGCUUUUCUCACAAUGAAUGCUUUUCUGUUCAUGAGACUUCCAGAACUUCUUGCUGUUUCUAUGACUCUAAGCAGGUAAGGUUACAGGAGUUAAUCACAAUGUCUGCUAUGUUUAGAGGGUUGGUGUAGUUCUAGAGGUUCCAGUAAGAUAUUUGUUUUAAAAUUUUUGCAUUUCUUAAGGUUAACACAGAAACCUCUUUGUUUGAAACCCAGAAGUUUUAGAAAUUCCAAAAGCCAAAAUGCAGCUUAGAAAAAGAAAUAAGAAACAUCUGGUUAGUUAGGAUUCUUUCUGCGCUGGCACAAAGAUGCAGUAAUGAAAAGCCUUUAUUUUCCAAGUCUGUUCUUGCAAAAAAUAUUAUUACAGCAGUCUGGCUGCAGAGUGCCUUAUGGGAAUGAGAACAUGCUGCAGUGAUAAUGCACAGAACAGUUACACUUAGGCAACAGUUGUCCACUGGCUAGUUAGUGAGAGAAGAGUGAGGCUGGCAUGGAAUUGUGGCAGGUUUGUACCUUUGUCACAAACAUUUGGGAUAGCAGCUAGUAGUGGAAUCAAAUGAACAUAAAGCCUUGUUCGUUAUUAAUGAGGACAGACAUUGUACUCUGUAAUUGUUUAUUCACAGCAUUGAGAAAGUCAUUGAAUUACCCUGGGGAAUACAGAUCUGUAUUUUUCUACUGUUGAUAUUCCUGAUAGUGGGCUGUGACCUGUAACAGAGCAGGUAUUACCUGUAGAUAGGAAAUUUCUAGACUUCAAACCUUAACUGUGCUAGGCUUACUAUAGCAUGGUCUAAAUGCCUUGUUGCCGAGGGACAAUUUGCCUUGGAGAAGUAGCCAUAAUUCCUAGCACAUGGUGAUACCUCAGUGCGCUAAUUGUGGAUUCUAGUGGCUGCAGCAGGGGGAGCUCAUGGCAGCCACGGCCUGAGCACUGAUCUAAGUAUGGACCACUGCUAUGUCUGUCUAGUGUGUAAGCUCUGCACAUCCUGGCCAAGACAGUCUUAAUGCUUCUCUCACAAAUGAAGUAGUUUGUAUUUUAGCUGCAGUUCAGUUCGCUUUAGGAUUUGACAGCCAGUACCACCAUUUUGGAACAAGUACAUUGCAGAAAAAAUAACGCUGGUUAUGUGGGCUCUCACUGUCGUCUUCUGGCUUUUAGUGCGUUUUUUGAUAUUUUUGUUUCCUUUAUUUCCCUACAGUUACUCCCUGAUGCAGCACUGCCUAAUCUUACGGUUAGACUUAGGUAAGCGCUAGAACCCAUCAGUGGGCUGUGGUGUUGGACCCUUGCCCCAUUGCAAAAGGCUCGGCUGGCACCAGGGGUCAGUGUCGGUCCGUGGUAGCAGGUCCGAAGGGCACGGCUGUGUCUCCUCUCUAAGGCUGGGCAAGCGGCUCCGAGUGGGGAGGACGUGCUGCUGGGCAGCUGACAUCGCCUGGAGCUGAGCCAUGGGUGAAAAGCGCUACCGACGUGUAGUGGUCGCGAUUCACGAACUUUUAACUGGAGUUAAAAAUCGGGUGUCUUCUCCUUUUCUUGACACUUUCGAUGCUCCCCUAAAUACUAUUAUUUUAAUGAUUCAGUUUUAACUCCAGUACCAAAAUAAAUUCGUAUGCUAAUUUUUUUCCUACCAAUCUUCAGGUUUAUUUAGCUUAACUGCUUAAAGAAACCAUAUUAAUAGUGUCAUAAGUUUUAAUCUAAUAUGUGCAAUUAUUGUUUGUGUAAAAAACCAAGUGCUACUCUGAAGAUUUCACUGUGUUCCCAUAUACCUGUAAUAAUCUUUAAUAGAAAUGUUUUUUCAAAAUAGGCAUUUUGAACAUUUUAAUUGGGUCAUACUAGCAGUCUAAGCUGCUUAAGUAGUAUACAAUUCAAACUUGCUCAAUAGUACUCAUUAGUUAUCAUGUUUCAGCAGAUAAGCUUCCAGUUGAUUCUUAAUGCUCAUAGACGUUGGGCUAGUUGUUCGGUCAUCAUCAUGUAAACAAACCAAAGAUUAAAAAACAUUUCGCUAUGCAAAGGAUAGCUUAUUCAAUAAUAAUACUUGAAUUCUUUAGAUCUGGAAGGACAAAACAUACCAGUAGAAACUUCAUAAAAAUCCAACACUUUUUCUGUCAGCAUGCAAGUAAAGCAGUUCAACCUUUUUGAAUGAACUAAAAGACAUUCUAUCGGCUAGGAAAUCACUGAGUUAAUUUAUUAUCCAUAGCAAACAGAAGAGAGAGCAAUUUCAAUUUACUUAACUUCAGACCUUCUCAAUUAUUAUCCAUUUGUUUUGCUGAUCUCUGCUUAGGUGUUGGUGCUCAGUAUUCUGAGCAUUUCUCUUUAUGAACUUGUAGUGAUUUGAGAGGAUGUGUGAUGAAGGCUUCCUUGUAACAAGUCUGGCUGACAUGGCAGGUAGUCACUGACACAACUUGCUGUUACCUAUGGGCUUCCCAACUUUCUUCCAGAAACUGUUGCAGUCGCUCAGGAUUUGUGUAGUACUCUGUGCCACAUUUUUGUAUGUCUUUGUGUCUUUUGCACUUGCAGAUAGGUGUUUACAAGGAGCUGGUGUUUGGGAAAACCCAGUCUCUUCAAUUCAUGUUUUUCAUGUCAGCACUCCUGACAUGAAAACACAAUAGAAUAACGCAGGUAUAUGCCAACUUUUCUUAGUGGUGUUUGACUCACUGGAAUCUAUCCUGCUUUGUUUUUGAAGUACUGUGAUAAUUAAGUUGUUUAAUGUUGCUGUACAAGGACAGUUGAUUUUCUUUUAAUAGUGUACUUGUUUAAACAUUGAUUUGCUAAUUUGUAUCAAAAAUACAAGCCGUUACAAUAAAACUGUGCCUCUCCACUUAAAGGAGACUGUUAUAAUAUAGCCAGCUUAACUGCAGCUCCUGCAAUUAUUCUAGAAGUUCGGCCUAUGAAAAUCCCCAGAGAUUUUUGCUGUUUUGCUUCACUAUUUUUUCAUAGGUGAAUUUUUGCUAAAAUUAAUUACAAUAAACAGACAAUUAAUAGUACUUUAUGUACUGUUAAGGAAGUAGUCAUUUUUGUAUGUUAACAGUCCUGAUCUAAUGAAUUAGAAAACAAUACGAGUGCAUGUGUGGUGAGGAGAAGAUGCUGAAGCAAGAAUGGAACUAUUGAGGCCAGUGACAAAACCUUAUUUCUGAAUGAGAUUGUUUCACUUCUGGAAGGACUGUAAAGAAUUCUUGGCUUCUUAAAAAAGGACUGAAGGAGCUUCUAGCAAAGCUUUGCCAGGGAGAUGUUACUCUGUUUUCUGGAAGUUAAUAUGGGCCAUAACUUUACUUUUAAUGGCCACCGGGAUGUGAAUCCUGGUGAUGGCGUGUUCUGCUGGUACUAGCUUAACAAUCUGCUGCAUUUAUUUCUUUUAAUAUGUUCUGAGUAUCCUUGUUGAUAAUUUACUUUCACCUAGUUCUUUCAUUUAAAAAAAAAAAACAAACACAACCAUUCCUGUCUCUCUACACUAUAUGUCACCCUUUUUCAGACUUCUUCUGUAGCACUUUACUAUUUCUUAUCAAGCAAAAGUUUGUGUGUUUCUUAUCUGGACACAGUUCUGCAUGUCUAGUCAAGUUUGUCAUGUUCGAUAGAACCUUUGCUUAAAAAUGUUUUGUUUCGUAUUUUCCCCCAGACAUUUCUUAAUAUUUUUUAAUCCUUUUCAAUUUUAUUCAUAGAGCUAUAUGUUAUAGCCUCUUUUCUAAGUGGAAGUGGCUGCUUUAGAUUUAUUAUUAUGUAUAUGAUGUGCAUUUUUAAAAGGGCCUUAUUUACUUUGUUUAUCAGUAUUGCAUUUUUUUCAGGGUAUAUGCUUGCCAAUUGAAGAUGAAAUGCCUACAUGAAUGUGCCAUAGUGUGAACAGCAGAAUCUUCCUGUAGUAAAGUCUGAAUACUUUGCGGGUGAUUCCUUUAUAUUAACCCUUAAGAGGAAAAGUAAAUAAUUAGUGGUGCCAUUAGUUGGCCCAGGGGAGGGGACCCUAACAAAAUAUUCCAGUCAGUUGUUCACAUCUGGCAAUUCUGUUUUCACUGGCAGAAGACAAUUAUCAUCCCAUGAGAGCGCAGCCAGGCUGUAAGUAGUAACUGUUGUGUAGCUUUUUCCAUGACUGGUUUUAGCAUAGAGGUAAUUAAUUUUAGUCACUGUAAUUAUAUUAUGCUCAUAGACUCUUUGCAAUAGGGAAAGUCCUUUUAUAUGUAUGUAUUCCGGUACUCAGUUCCAAUAGUAGCACCAAUACAGAGAGCACUUCAUAGUGUCAAGUGCUCUCUAAGUUCUUGUUUUACCUGUGUUCAUCUCUAAGCAUGUGGCAACUUCGUAGUUAAAACUUUGAAUCAUUUAGUUUUGUCUCUAUCCCAAAACUGCUAAGAGGGUAAUGCUAUAAGGAUGAGAAAAUCCCAAUAUACACCUCAAGCUUUCAUCAAUCUUCAUAAAUGGCAGCUGAUCAGUAGGUAAAGGGGCUGUAUUUUGAGAGGGGUGAGAAGCAGGUUUAAAAGAAAUAAAAUACUGACAGUAUGCUAAAUAGAGUUGUAAACAGUUCUCUUGCCUUCCCUUCCCCACCACGUUAUCUGGCUUCCAUUAAACUGAAAUGCUAUUAAUCGUUUCCUUGUGUGAAUGUAUUCAUAUUAAAAAUUGCAAGUUGUAUUAGGUCUUUAGAGGAGUGACAUUGUGAAGAAGCAGUAAGUUUAGAUUAGCAGGACUGAAAAAAACUUCUUUGGGAAGAGAAAAUGCCAACAAAGGAUUGGAACAUUAAUUGAAAAGAAUGCUAAACUAAUGUUUAUAUUAGAAUAAGUUACUGGAAAACACUAAGAGAAAGUAUGAAGGUAUGAAAAUAUUUCUAGACCGCAGAGUCAAAAGAGACUAAAUUAUAAGAGGAUGCAGAAGGGAACCUGAAACUUCCUGUUAUUCUCCUAGGUUAGAAUUGUAAUAGAAAUAGAAAAGUGAUCUUAGCUAGAAAUGUAUUUCAUUAAUCUCUCUGCCUCUCUUUGCAUGUUAACUUGCAAAAUUGUGAUACUGAACAGUAAAACUAAGAGGUCCAUAUGCCUUACCAUAUACAUUUUGCUGUUUGUAUUUCUCAAUGGAAAUAUAAUCCUGAUGAUGUGAACUAUCAUGCAAAAUGUUACGAGAACUUUCCCCUAGAUAAAUCUCCAGGCCCACCUAGCAGAUACGAGUGCAGAGCAAAUGCUCACAGCUCAGGGGUGUGUAGGAAUGGGAACAGUGGGACUCAGUGUAGAGGCGUCAGCAGGUUUUAUUUGAUAUCCACUUCCUCUGAAACGAGGUUGUGAUUGGCUAUGGACUUGGAUUUUUAAAGUUUAAAUGUAAUUUAUAUUAGCUCUUCUAUAUUUGUUUUGUGGAAGAGGGAAUUCCAGUGAACUUGGGCUUUUUUUUAGUCAAACAUCAUGAUUUCUCAUCAUCUUUAUGUAGUGAGAGGAGAGCAGAUGAGAACAAAUUCCACCAAGCCAAAGAAGGAAUAACCAAGUUUAUGUCAUGCUGUGAUUGUAGUUAUACAACUUUUAUGGACUCAAAUCAAUGACAGCACAAUUUUUGUUACAUGCAACAGCCUGUUUUGUACGUAAAGUGUUUUAGUGGUUCUAGAGACCCCUUCUGGGUUAUUUCCUUCAAAAUGAACCCCAAUUGUUCUCCUUUUCACAGAACUAAUUUCUUUUAUUUCUUAUUAGUGAAGACGUUUUCUGUCAUUUGCUUCUUUCAAAUAAGUUUCUAGGCUGGAAUAAGCAAUCUAGGAAUGCAAGAGCUCCUGGAUAUGCAUUGUCCAUUUGGGAAUUGUUUUGUAAAGUUUUUCCUGUGGCAAUGAAGUUAUGACAUCAAUGCUGCUAUGUCAGUUAUUUAAUGUAAUUACUGAAGACUUGGUUAAAAAAAGAUAGCAGCAAAACAAUUCUGGCAGAAAUGGCAUCUAUGUUUAAAAAGAAUUGAGUCCAGCCCAUAAUUACUUUCAAUCUCAUUCAGUUACUUUUGAUAGGUGGCAAUGUCUUUACCUCAAACCAAGGAUUAAACUGCGUUGCGUGGGCAUUUAAGUUUGUCGGUGUCUUUUAUGGAGUAGACAGUAUUCAUCUGGAUUUCCGUAAGGCUGACAAUAUAAAACUCACUGUAAUUCAUGUGCUGAAUCUUAUAUAAAAAUUCUGAAAAUGAUUCUUUUACCUGAAAUGGAUGAGUUAGACUAAUGCUUAAGGAGAAAUUGGUAACCCUACUGUGCAAUGUAAUGAUAAAUUUGAUACACAGAAGUCUCUUUUACUAUUUUUCAUUUUCCCUUAAGAAUAUCAGCAAAUAAUACCUUAGCUGUUUUAAAAAUAAGUGUGAGCAUUGCUAUUUCUGUCAGGAAGUAGAAUGUUCUGCACCAGUUCUCCAAGACUGGAAAUAGGAGUAUGAUCUUGCAAACAUCUUUACAGUUUAUGUUCAUAGAAUCACCAAGGUUGGAAAAGACCUCUAAGAUCACCCAGUCCAACUGCUCUCCUAUCAUCAAUAAUUCCCACUAAACCAAGAAACAUGCAGAUGUUGUACUGAUGGGCAUGAACACCUCCAGGAGGGUCUGUAACUCCACCACUUCCCAUUUCUGAGAUUAUCCUAGAGAACCUGGUGUCCUGUACUCAUUAAAUGUGUACAAGAUUGCUCUUUCCCUGUUCAUAUCUUCGGUGCUUUCUUCUUGCUUUAAACUAGAAAGCAUUUUAGUUACUAUUUAUUUUUCUAUUAACUUGAAUGUAAUGGAACAAAACUACAUUUCAACCAAGUUUUAUUAACAACAACCGAAAAAAAAAACAGGCUUUUUAAGCUUUAUGUUUAGAAUUUUUAAUAAGAUCUUAUCUCUACUUUUCUAUUUGCAGUAAACUCUGCCUUCCUCGAAGUCCAUUAUCACUCAAAUCAUAAAGUAAAACAAAAAAAUAGCCGACUGGCCAUGAUUGUAACUCCUCUCAACCCUGAGAUAACUCCAAAUACGUAGUUUUUGGCUAGUGGAUUAGCUCUGACUUGAAAUUGCUUGUUAUACUCUCUGCUUAUUCCCUUGUAGUUCUGUCUGUCGUUUGUAGUCUUUCAUCUGUGACUGGCACACUUUUACUUCCUAUUCUUACCAUAAAGCUGUGAUGACAUAAUCCUUGACUGGUACUUCCAAACCCUUGCAUAAAAGAAAAAACAGGCAUCUGCCAUGUAAGCCUAUUCUGACAGCAGUAUUAUAAAAUAUGUUACAGCUGUAAUAACUUGGUUACAAGAUGGGAAUACUGGCCUAUUUUUUGAAAUAUGUUGAAGCCAAAAAGCACCACAAAAUAUAUUACAGUGUAUUAUUAUCCUUAAAAAAAUUACAACCUGCUAGAGUAUUUCUAGUUGUGUAGUAAGCCUACAAAUGAAAGAUUCCAUUUACACUGUUUUUCUGCUUGAUGGUAGUAGGACCAACUGACGCUAUGGGAAUGGUAUUUUAAUAAUGCUUUGAGAGUGAUUAUGUAAUACUUCGAUCAUUUAAAGAGACCAUCUUUCUGUAAGGAUUUUUGUUUUGAAUUACAAAAAAAAAAAAAGCUCUUAUUUCUGUGGGGUUUUCAUGCACAUUUUCCAGGAGAAAUUAGCAGUACAAAAAUUUUAUCAUCCUAUGGCUCAACAACACCUAUCUAAAUCCUGUUCAAGUCUGAGAACUUUCCAGUUAUUUCUAUAGAUUUUGCACCAGGUUCUUAACAAUAUAUUAAAAAAAAAAUCCUUUAUACUUUCAUGCAAGUGACCAACUCAUUGCUCUGAUCAUAAAUCCAGUCAUUCUUGGAAAUCAAACAGAAAAAAAGCUCCUUGAUAGUAAUUUGCCCUGUUGUGUAGGAUUUUUUCUAAGUUGUUUUUUCAUUCUGUGCAAGGAAUAAUCAAGGAAUGGGCUUUCCAAAGGUGAUGGCUAAUGAGUUCCAUGCUCCUCAUUUUUCCUUGGUGAGCAGGCAGCAGACAGGAUUCUUCCUCUUUUCCCAAGGCUGCCCAGUGCAUUGUCUUCCUUGGAAAAAAGACAGGAAUGUGGAGGCUGCUUAGGGCACUUCCUCACAUUUCUAUUUAAAAUGUUCUGUGCCAGCUUUUUUUAUUUUUCUUUCACUGCAUUUACUCCAAGUUUUUCAUUGUGAGUAGAGAAUGUUACUUACAUUUUACAUCUGUUAAAUGAAUUUAUUUGCGUGCGGCAGACUGCUACAGUGAUUAAUAAUUCCCAUCUCAGUGUGGACAGUUGAUGCAAAACGCAGAAUAGCAUACUCAAAGCUGUACCUUUCCAACUAGGAUCAUAUUAGUCAUCCUUUCUAGACAAAAAUGAAGAGCCAUGUCUACACUCAAAGUGAGGCUACUUAAAAAGCAGACAGAAAACAGUAACAGUUCACAUUUUCAGAAUAUGCAUCAAUGUAUGUAGCUCUAAAAAAUUCCAGGGUGUGGAUUUUUUUCCUUCUUUCUCGAAGAAAG